UACGGAGGGAGCUAGCGUUGUUCGGAAUUACUGGGCGUAAAGCGCACGUAGGCGGCUCAGCAAGUCAGGGGUGAAAUCCCGGGGCUCAACCCCGGAACUGCCCUUGAAACUGCUAAGCUAGAAUCUUGGAGAGGCGAGUGGAAUUCCGAGUGUAGAGGUGAAAUUCGUAGAUAUUAGGAAGAACACCAGUGGCGAAGGCGGCUCACUGGUCCGGUACUGACGCUGAGGUGCGAAAGCGUGGGGAGCAAACAGG
rnacentral:rRNA from 1 species